GACCACGUAGCUCAGUUGGCAGAGCAUUGGGCUAGUAUUCCAAAGGUCGUAGGUUCGAUUCCCACCGUGGCCA